rnacentral:rRNA from 1 species
CCCCUAGAUGUUCUGGGCCGCACGCGCGCUACACUGAACAGUUCAACAAGUCUUAACCUUGGCCGAUAGGUCUGGGUAAUCUUUGAACGCUGUUCGUGAUUGGGAUAGACCUUUGCAAUUAUGGGUCUUCAACGAGGAAUUCCUAGUAAACGCAAGUCAUCAGCUUGCAUUGAUUACGUCCCUGCCCUUUGUACACACCGCCCGUCGCACCUACCGAUUGAAUGGUCCGGUGAAAUCUCGGGACGGCGGCUUGGUCGCUUGCGUCCGACUGCUGAAACUUGAUUAAACCAUAUCAUUUAGAGGAAGGUGAAGUCGUAUCA